GACGAACGCUGGCGGCGUGCUUAACACAUGCAAGUCGAACGGAAAGGCCCUGCUUUUGUGGGGUGCACGAGUGGCGAACGGGUGAGUAAAACGUGAGUAACCUGCCCUUGACUUUGGGAUAACUUCAGGAAACUGGGGCUAAUACCGGAUAGGAGAUCCUGCUGCAUGGUGGGGGUUGGAAAGUUUCGGCGGUUGGGGAUGGACUAGCGGCUUAUCAGCUUGUUGGUGGGGUAGUGGAGUACCAAGGGUUUGAAGGGUAGCCGGCCUGAGAGGGUGAACGGCGUCAUGGGGACUGCGAGAGGGCCCAGACUCCUACGGGAGGCAGCAGGGGGGAAUAUGGCACAGUGGGCGGAAGCCAGAUGCAGCAACGCCGCGUGCGUGAUGACGUCCUUCGGGUUGUGAACCGCUUUCGCCGUUAACGAAGCGUUAUUGACGGUAAUGGGUAAAGAAGCACCGGCUAACUACGUG
rnacentral:rRNA from 1 species